CUCACUCAUGCGCCAAAAUGAACGAAACGCCCCCCCCCCGGCUACUUCUUCCCCAACUUCUUCCUCUCACCCUGCAAAGUGCAAACUAACCCACCCCAUUACGUUGCCUCACAACCAAGAGAGGUAAUCACAUGGCAUUUCCUCGAGCAUAGCAUUUCUUCUUCACUCUUAACUCUUCCUCUUCUCCUCUUCACCCGCACUACAGAACUGGACUCGGGCGUUGCAUUUCCAAUCGGCAGCACUGGGAGUGGUAUUAAAUGGAGUACCACCCACCCCUGCCAGAUUGUGUUCGAAUUAUAGCUGCCUAGCAUCUGUCUACUUCAAUAGAGGUAUUGUUAUUUGACUCUAUGAGAAGUGCAAAAAUCUGUUGGGAUAUUCUAUUGCAAAAAAACUUGAUAUAUCAAAGUCAGUACUUGCUCUGCAUUAAUGCAAAAGUGUAUAUAUAACUACAUAUUAUGUGAA